UAGGGAAUAUUGGUAAUGUGCGAAAGCGCGAACCAGCAACGCCGCGUGCACGAUGAAGGCCUUCGGGUCGUAAAGUGCUUUUAGAGAGGAUGAGGAAGGACAGUACUUUCUGAAUAAGCCUCGGCUAACUACGUGCCAGCAGCCGCGGUAAAACGUAGGAGGCUAGCGUUAUCCGGAUUUACUGGGCGUAAAGCGAAUGCAGGUGGUUUUGUAAGUUGGAUGUGAAAGCUCCUGGCUUAACUGGGAGAGGUCGUUCAAAACUACAAGACUUGAGAUUGGUAGAGGAAAAUGGAAUUCCGGGUGUAGUGGUGAAAUGCGUAGAUAUCCGGAGGAACACCAGUGGCGAAAGCGGUUUUCUGGACCAAUUCUGACACUCAGAUGCGAAAGCUAAGGUAGCAAACG
rnacentral:rRNA from 1 species